rnacentral:sRNA from 1 species
UAUAAAUACGGAAUAGCAUGUCUUGUCAAAG